AAGAGAAGACCCAGUUAUCUGCCAAAGCCAUCAGCCUGCAAGCGCUCGCAGGAACUCGUGUGCUCUCCCUGCUGAUCUUGCUGGUUUUGCAAGGAAAAGCACUCCUGGCUGCAGAGGACGUCUGGUGCUCACAGGAGGGACGAAGCAGAUCCAAAACUGUAGUGCAGUGCUCCCAGAUGAGGUGGGAUGGUGGGAACAACCAGCAGAGGUGGAAGGAUUCCUAUUCACAUGUGUGAUGACACCAGGACACAUCCCUGUGGUCCCCUCCCUGUCCCAGCACCCUCUCCAGGUGAAGCAUCUCCCUGUUCUACCACCUCUUGCUUGAGCAUUUC
rnacentral:lncRNA from 12 species